rnacentral:rRNA from 1 species
CCUACGGGUGGCAGCAGUAGGGAAUAUUGCUCAAUGGGCGCGAGCCUGAACCAGCCAAGUAGCGUGAAGGAUGACUGCCCUACGGGUUGUAAACUUCUUUUAUAAAGGAAUAAAGUGAGGCACGUGUGCCUUUUUGUAUGUACCUUAUGAAUAAGGAUCGGCUAACUCCGUGCCAGCAGCCGCGGUAAUACGGAGGAUCCGAGCGUUAGCCGGAUUUAUGGGGUUUAAAGGGAGCGUAGAUGGGUUGGUAAGUCAGUUGUGAAAGUUUGCGGCUCAACCGUAAAAUUGCAAUUGAUACUGGCAGCCUGGAGUACAGUUGAGGUAGGCGGAAUUCGUGGUGUAGCGGUGAAAUGCUUAGAUAUCACGAAGAACUCCGAUUGCGAAGGCAGCCUACUAGACUGCAACUGACAUUGAUGCUCGAAAGUGUGGGUAUCAAACAGGAUUAGAUACCCUUGUAGUC